rnacentral:rRNA from 1 species
CGACCGGGCGUACGGGUGAGUAACGCGUAUCCAACCUGCCCUUUACUAUGGGACAGCCCGUCGAAAGGCGGAUUAAUACCGUAUGUUGUCAUGUUGAUGCAUAUUUUCAUGACCAAAGGCUUCGGCCGGUAAAGGAUGGGGAUGCGUCUGAUUAGCUUGCCGGCGGGGUAACGGCCCACCGGGGCGACGAUCAGUAGCCGGACUGAGAGGUUGGCCGGCCACAUUGGGACUGAGACACGGCCCAGACUCCUACGGGAGGCAGCAG